rnacentral:rRNA from 1 species
CCUACGGGAGACAGCAGUGAGGAAUAUUGGUCAAUGGGCGGAAGCCUGAACCAGCCAAGUAGCGUGCAGGAUGACGGCCCUACGGGUUGUAAACUGCUUUUAUUCGGGAAUAACGCGCCUUACGUGUAGGGCUUUGCAUGUAUCGCAUGAAUAAGGACAGGCUCACACUGUGCCACCACCCUCGGUAAUACAGAGGAUGCGAGCGUUAUCCGGAUUUUUUGGGUUUAAAGGGUGCGCAGGCGGAAGUUCAAGUCAGCGGUAAAAUUGGGAGGCUCAACCUCUUCGAGCCGUUGAAACUGGUUUUCUUGAGUGAGUGAGAAGUAUGCGGAAUGCGUGGUGUAGCGGUGAAAUGCAUAGAUAUCACGCAGAACUCCGAUGGCGAAGGCAGCAUACCGGCGCGCAACUGACGCUCAUGCACGAAAGUGUGGGUAUCGAACAGGAUUAGAUACCCGAGUAGUC